AGAGUUUGAUCCUGGCUCAGGACGAACGCUGGCGGCGUGCCUAACACAUGCAAGUCGAGCGGGGACUUGUUGAGGAAGUCUUCGGAUGGAAUUGAUAAGUUCUAGCGGCGGACGGGUGAGUAACGCGUGAGCAACCUGCCCUCCACAGGGGGAUAACGCACCGAAAGGUGCACUAAUACCGCAUAAGACCACGGCACUGACAUGGUGCAGGGGUCAAAGGAGCAAUCCGGUGGAAGAUGGGCUCGCGUCUGAUUAGCUAGUUGGUGAGGUAACGGCCCACCAAGGCGACGAUCAGUAGCCGACCUGAGAGGGUGAUCGGCCACAUUGGAACUGAGAGACGGUCCAAACUCCUACGGGAGGCAGCAGUGGGAAUAUUGGGCAGUGGGCGAAAGCCUGACCCAGCAACGCCGCGUGAAGGAAGAAGGUUUUCGGAUCGUAGGGGCAAGCGUUGUCCGGAAUGAUUGGGCGUAAAGGGCGCGUAGGCGGCCAACUAAGUCUGGAGUGAAUGUCCCGCUUUUAAGGUGGGAAUUGCUUUGGAAACUGGAUGGCUUGAGUGCAGGAGAGGUAAGCGGAAUUCCCGGUGUAGCGGUGAAAUGCGUAGAGAUCGGGAGGAUCACCAGUGGCGAAGGCGGCUUACUGGACUGUAACUGACGCUGAGGCGCGAAAGUGUGGGGAGCAAACAGGAUUAGAUACCCUGGUUGUCCACACUGUAAACGAUGAAUGCUAGGUGUAGGGGGUAUCGACCCCUUCUGUGCCGGAGUAAACACAAUAAGCAUUCCGCCUGGGGAGUACGGCCGCAAGGUUGAAACUCAAAGGAAUUGACGGGGGCCCGCACAAGCAGCGGAGCAUGUGGUUUAAUUCGAAGCAACGCGAAGAACCUUACCAGGUCUUGACAUCCAUUAAAAGCCAUAGAGAUAUGGUGUGAGCUUGCUCAUAAUGAGACAGGUGGUGCAUGGUUGUCGUCAGCUCGUGUCGUGAGAUGUUGGGUUAAGUCCCGCAACGAGCGCAACCCUUGUGAUCAGUUACUAACGGGUAGUGCCGAGGACUCUGAUAAGGCUGCCGGGGACAACUCGGAGGAAGGUGGGGACGACGUCAAAUCAUCAUGCCCCUUAUGACCUGGGCUACACACGUGCUACAAUGGCCACUACAGAGAGCAGCGAAUUCGUAAGGAAGAGCAAAUCUCAAAAAAGUGGUCCCAGUUCGGAUUGUGGGCUGCAACCCGCCCACAUGAAGUCGGAGUUGCUAGUAAUCGCGGAUCAGCAUGCCGCGGUGAAUACGUUCCCGGGCCUUGUACACACCGCCCGUCACACCAUGGGAGUUGGUAGCACCCGAAGUCGCUGAGGUAACCGAAAGGAGCCAGGCGCCGAAGGUGAGACCAAUGACUGGGGUGAAGUCGUAACAAGGUA
rnacentral:rRNA from 1 species